GGGUUGUGAGGUUAAGCGACUAAGCGUACACGGUGGAUGCCCUGGCAGUCAGAGGCGAUGAAGGACGUGCUAAUCUGCGAUAAGCGUCGGUAAGGUGAUAUGAACCGUUAUAACCGGCGAUUUCCGAAUGGGGAAACCCAGUGUGUUUCGACACACUAUCAUUAACUGAAUCCAUAGGUUAAUGAGGCGAACCGGGGGAACUGAAACAUCUAAGUACCCCGAGGAAAAGAAAUCAACCGAGAUUCCCCCAGUAGCGGCGAGCGAACGGGGAGGAGCCCAGAGCCUGAAUCAGUGUGUGUGUUAGUGGAAGCGUCUGGAAAGGCGCGCGAUACAGGGUGACAGCCCCGUACACAAAAAUGCACAUACUGUGAGCUCGAUGAGUAGGGCGGGACACGUGGUAUCCUGUCUGAAUAUGGGGGGACCAUCCUCCAAGGCUAAAUACUCCUGACUGACCGAUAGUGAACCAGUACCGUGAGGGAAAGGCGAAAAGAACCCCGGCGAGGGGAGUGAAAAAGAACCUGAAACCGUGUACGUACAAGCAGUGGGAGCCUCUUUAUGGGGUGACUGCGUACCUUUUGUAUAAUGGGUCAGCGACUUAUAUUCUGUAGCAAGGUUAACCGAAUAGGGGAGCCGAAGGGAAACCGAGUCUUAACUGGGCGUUAAGUUGCAGGGUAUAGACCCGAAACCCGGUGAUCUAGCCAUGGGCAGGUUGAAGGUUGGGUAACACUAACUGGAGGACCGAACCGACUAAUGUUGAAAAAUUAGCGGAUGACUUGUGGCUGGGGGUGAAAGGCCAAUCAAACCGGGAGAUAGCUGGUUCUCCCCGAAAGCUAUUUAGGUAGCGCCUCGUGAAUUCAUCUCCGGGGGUAGAGCACUGUUUCGGCAAGGGGGUCAUCCCGACUUACCAACCCGAUGCAAACUGCGAAUACCGGAGAAUGUUAUCACGGGAGACACACGGCGGGUGCUAACGUCCGUCGUGAAGAGGGAAACAACCCAGACCGCCAGCUAAGGUCCCAAAGUCAUGGUUAAGUGGGAAACGAUGUGGGAAGGCCCAGACAGCCAGGAUGUUGGCUUAGAAGCAGCCAUCAUUUAAAGAAAGCGUAAUAGCUCACUGGUCGAGUCGGCCUGCGCGGAAGAUGUAACGGGGCUAAACCAUGCACCGAAGCUGCGGCAGCGACGCUUAUGCGUUGUUGGGUAGGGGAGCGUUCUGUAAGCCUGCGAAGGUGUGCUGUGAGGCAUGCUGGAGGUAUCAGAAGUGCGAAUGCUGACAUAAGUAACGAUAAAGCGGGUGAAAAGCCCGCUCGCCGGAAGACCAAGGGUUCCUGUCCAACGUUAAUCGGGGCAGGGUGAGUCGACCCCUAAGGCGAGGCCGAAAGGCGUAGUCGAUGGGAAACAGGUUAAUAUUCCUGUACUUGGUGUUACUGCGAAGGGGGGACGGAGAAGGCUAUGUUGGCCGGGCGACGGUUGUCCCGGUUUAAGCGUGUAGGCUGGUUUUCCAGGCAAAUCCGGAAAAUCAAGGCUGAGGCGUGAUGACGAGGCACUACGGUGCUGAAGCAACAAAUGCCCUGCUUCCAGGAAAAGCCUCUAAGCAUCAGGUAACAUCAAAUCGUACCCCAAACCGACACAGGUGGUCAGGUAGAGAAUACCAAGGCGCUUGAGAGAACUCGGGUGAAGGAACUAGGCAAAAUGGUGCCGUAACUUCGGGAGAAGGCACGCUGAUAUGUAGGUGAAGCGACUUGCUCGUGGAGCUGAAAUCAGUCGAAGAUACCAGCUGGCUGCAACUGUUUAUUAAAAACACAGCACUGUGCAAACACGAAAGUGGACGUAUACGGUGUGACGCCUGCCCGGUGCCGGAAGGUUAAUUGAUGGGGUUAGCGGUAACGCGAAGCUCUUGAUCGAAGCCCCGGUAAACGGCGGCCGUAACUAUAACGGUCCUAAGGUAGCGAAAUUCCUUGUCGGGUAAGUUCCGACCUGCACGAAUGGCGUAAUGAUGGCCAGGCUGUCUCCACCCGAGACUCAGUGAAAUUGAACUCGCUGUGAAGAUGCAGUGUACCCGCGGCAAGACGGAAAGACCCCGUGAACCUUUACUAUAGCUUGACACUGAACAUUGAGCCUUGAUGUGUAGGAUAGGUGGGAGGCUUUGAAGUGUGGACGCCAGUCUGCAUGGAGCCGGCCUUGAAAUACCACCCUUUAAUGUUUGAUGUUCUAACGUUGGCCCCUGAUCGGGGUUGCGGACAGUGUCUGGUGGGUAGUUUGACUGGGGCGGUCUCCUCCUAAAGAGUAACGGAGGAGCACGAAGGUUGGCUAAUCCUGGUCGGACAUCAGGAGGUUAGUGCAAUGGCAUAAGCCAGCUUGACUGCGAGCGUGACGGCGCGAGCAGGUGCGAAAGCAGGUCAUAGUGAUCCGGUGGUUCUGAAUGGAAGGGCCAUCGCUCAACGGAUAAAAGGUACUCCGGGGAUAACAGGCUGAUACCGCCCAAGAGUUCAUAUCGACGGCGGUGUUUGGCACCUCGAUGUCGGCUCAUCACAUCCUGGGGCUGAAGUAGGUCCCAAGGGUAUGGCUGUUCGCCAUUUAAAGUGGUACGCGAGCUGGGUUUAGAACGUCGUGAGACAGUUCGGUCCCUAUCUGCCGUGGGCGCUGGAGAACUGAGGGGGGCUGCUCCUAGUACGAGAGGACCGGAGUGGACGCAUCACUGGUGUUCGGGUUGUCAUGCCAAUGGCACUGCCCGGUAGCUAAAUGCGGAAGAGAUAAGUGCUGAAAGCAUCUAAGCACGAAACUUGCCCCGAGAUGAGUUCUCCCUGAGACUUUAAGUCUCCUGAAGGAACGUUGAAGACGACGACGUUGAUAGGCCGGGUGUGUAAGCGCAGCGAUGCGUUGAGCUAACCGGUACUAAUGAACCGUGAGGCUUAACCUUACAACGCCGAAG
rnacentral:rRNA from 1 species